rnacentral:lncRNA from 1 species
CGAUUCAUAUUAGGAAGGUGCACAAUUAAUCUCUCGACACAAGGUUCGCGACCAUGGAUACUGUAUGCAAACAUUCGUAGGAAAGCUUCACAUGCAGAAAGAUACCUACCAGAUAUAAAAUAUAAAUUAAUUAAUAAAAUGAAAGAACGACACAUACCAACACCGCAUAGUUUUCGUGCUGAUUUGUUUUAAUUAGAUGAAUUAAUUAUACAUUCAUGCACCUAAUAUAUAAUCAUCAAUUUCAUUUCUGCCGGUAGGAGAAGGAACUGUAAAAAAUACUACGUGGCCUAUUAUCAAUAUCGAUACGCA